UGAGGAAUAUUGGGCAAUGCCCGCAAGGGUGACCCAGCAACGCCGCGUGGAGGAUGAAUGUCGUAAGAUUGUAAACUCCUGUUAGAGGGGAAGAAUAGUACCGGUUGGACCGGUAUAUGACUGUACCCUCAGAGAAAGCCCCGGCUAACUACGUGCCAGCAGCCGCGGUAAUACAUAGGGGGCAAGCGUUGUCCGGAUUUACUGGGUGUAAAGGGCGCGCAGGCGGGAUAAAAAGUCAGUGGUGAAAUCCUACAGCUUAACUGUAGAACUGCCUUUGAUACUUUUAUUCUUGAGUUCGGGAGAGAGUGACGGAAUUCCCGGUGUAGUGGUGAAAUACGUAGAUAUCUGGAAGAACACCAGUUGCGAAGGCGGUCUCUUGGUCCGACACUGACGCUGAGGCGCGAAAGCGUGGGGAGCAAACA
rnacentral:rRNA from 1 species